rnacentral:precursor_RNA from 10 species
GCCUGGUUCCUGGUCGGUUUUCUCGCCCGUACGAGCGAAUGUUCUCACGCGAUCUUAGAUUUGAAUGAUCGGUGGGAUUUUCGUUCGUUCUGGAGGUGGAACUCUCUCCGAACUCACGAG